CACGUAGGGCGCAAGCGUUGUCCGGAAUUAUUGGGCGUAAAGAGCUCGUAGGCGGUCUGUUGCGUCCGCUGUGAAAACUCGGGGCUUAACCCCGAGCCUGCAGUGGAUACGGGCAGACUAGAGGUAGGUAGGGGAGAAUGGAAUUCCCGGUGUAGCGGUGAAAUGCGCAGAUAUCAGGAGGAACACCGGUGGCGAAGGCGGAUCUCUGGGCCUGUCCUGACGCUGAGGCGCGAAAGCUAGGGGAGCGAACAGG
rnacentral:rRNA from 1 species